GACUGGUGAUGACCCUGUUGAGUAUCUUAGAAUGGUCAAGAUGAUAACUGAUGAGUUGGGAGCCAGUGAGAGUAGAGCCAUUCAGAUGGCAGGGAGCACAUUGAAUUGUGCGCAGGCAAGGGAAUGGUUCACCCAGUAUGUGGACCCGAGGGUAGAAAGCUUAUCCUGGGAGCAGUUUACUACAGAGUUUGCAGGAUGGGCUUGGUCAGAUAGCUUAAGGGAGCGUAAAGAGAGUGCAUGUGAGCAGCCAGGGCAGACAGAAAACAUGAGU
rnacentral:lncRNA from 1 species